GGGCCCGUAGUUCAUGAAGUAGAACUCUGCCUUUGGUAAGCGGGAAAGCGGGUGCAAGCCCCGCCGGGUCCA
rnacentral:tRNA from 1 species